AGAGUUAUCAAGAAGAGAGACGGAGGCAAACAUCAGACCUGAUCCUGAUAUAGAUAUCUUUAUGAAGGCAGCUGCCCCGGAGGGUAGGAGACUAAUGUUGUUACCAAUUAUAUACUCAAGAUUCCAGGACUUGAAAUUUGCACCGACACGAUGGUGGGAGAUGAAAUGAUACGAGGCAUCUCCGGUGGACAAAAGAAACGAGUCACAACCGGUAAGACCCAGAAGGCCGCUUUAGUAUCCCAUUUUGUUGGAUGAUUGCAAUG